UGAACGCUGGCGCGUGCCUAACACAUGCAAGCGAACGAAGCAUCGCGCCCGACAAAGCGGAGUGCUGCACAAAGCGGAGUCAAUUGUGAUGACUUAGUGGCGGACGGGUGAGUAACGCGUGGGUAACCUGCCUUAUACAGGGGGAUAACAGUUAGAAAUGACUGCUAAUACCGCAUAAGCGCACAGUAUCGCAUGGUACAGUGUGAAAAGCCGAGACGGUAUAAGAUGGACCCGCGUCUGAUUAGCCAGUUGGCAGGGUAACGGCCUACCAAAGCGACGAUCAGUAGCCGGCCUGAGAGGGUGAACGGCCACAUUGGGACUGAGACACGGCCCAAACUCCUACGGGAGGCAGCAGUGGGGGAUAUUGCACACUGGGGGAAACCCUGAUGCAGCGAACCGCCGCGUGAGCGAUGAAGUAUUUCGGUAUGUAAAGCUCUAUCAGCAGGGAAGAAAAUGACGGUACCUGACUAAGAAGCUCCGGCUAAAUACGUGCCAGCAGCCGC
rnacentral:rRNA from 1 species